rnacentral:rRNA from 1 species
UACGUAGGGUGCGAGCGUUAAUCGGAAUUACUGGGCGUAAAGCGUGCGCAGGCGGCUUUGCAAGACAGAUGUGAAAUCCCCGGGCUCAACCUGGAAACUGCAUUUGUGACUGCAAGGCUAGAGUACGGCAGAGGGGGAUGGAAUUCCGCGUGUAGCAGUGAAAUGCGUAGAUAUGCGGAGGAACACCAAUGGCGAAGGCAAUCCCCUGGGCCUGUACUGACGCUCAUGCACGAAAGCGUGGGGAGCAAACAGG